GCAGCCUGCAACUCGGCUGCAUGAAGCUGGAAUCGCUAGUAAUCGCGGAUCAGAACGCCGCGGUGAAUACGUUCCCGGGUCUUGUACACACCGCCCGUCACACCAUGGGAGCCGGAAACGCCCGAAGCCAGCGGCCCAACCGCAAGGGGGGAGCUGUCGAAGGCGGGGCCGGUGACCGGGGUGAAGUCGUAACAAGGUAUC
rnacentral:rRNA from 1 species